ensembl:snRNA U4 U4 spliceosomal RNA
AUGUUUGCGCAGUGGCAGUAUCAUAACCAAUGAGGUUUAUCCGAGGCAUGAUUAUUGCUAAUUGAAAACUUUACCCAAUACCCCGCCUUGACGAUUUGAAAUACAAUCGGCAAUGGCAAUUUUUGACAGUCUCUCUGGAGA